CAGCGCCACGAGUGGUAACCGCGAUUAUUGGGCCUAAAGCGUCCGUAGCAGGUUUAGCAAAUCUUUUGUGAAAUUGUGCGGCUUAACCGUACAACGUGCAAGAGACACUACUGAACUCGAGAUCGGGAGGAGUCAGAAGUAUUCCAGGGGGAGCGGUAAAAUGUUAUAUCCCUGGAGGACUACCUAUGGCGAAGGCAUCUGGCCAGAACGAAUCUGACUGUGAGGGACGAAAGCCAGGGGAGCGAACCGGAUUAGAUACCCGAGUAGUCC
rnacentral:rRNA from 1 species